rnacentral:misc_RNA from 1 species
GUAGCACCUGUUAGUAGUCUGCAUCAAACAAGUAAAUCAAGAAACAUGAUUUUCCAAAAAAAGCUCAAUAUAUUAGAGAAUUGAUCGAUAUCUUAGCAAAAAAAAGAUAAAUAAUAUUAUGAGUCUGCCUCCAACAAGGAUAUUAAUAAAUGAAAUUUUCUGCAAAAAGAAACAUGAGUGAACAUAAAACAUGCCACUGGUUA